UACGGAGGGAGCUAGCGUUGUUCGGAAUUACUGGGCGUAAAGCGUGCGUAGGCGGUUAUUCAAGUCAGAGGUGAAAGCCCGGGGCUCAACCCCGGAACGGCCUUUGAAACUAGAUAACUAGAAUCUUGGAGAGGUCAGUGGAAUUCCGAGUGUAGAGGUGAAAUUCGUAGAUAUUCGGAAGAACACCAGUGGCGAAGGCGACUGACUGGACAAGCAUUGACGCUGAGGUACGAAAGCGUGGGGAGCAAACAGG
rnacentral:rRNA from 1 species